ACGAAUCCUCUGCCUAUUUACGAUCCUUUUGAGGGAUCCGAGGUUUUUGUAGGCUUGCCGCACUGUGCGGGACCGGUGGAGAGAUCUUCCGGCCUCAAGCAGCGAAGCGGUAGGCCAAACAACAAGCUUCUGAUCGCUCAUAGCUCAAGGGUCGUGCGUAGGCGGAAGGGUUUACUGUGAAGCCGCCCUGUGAGGGAUGCGGUGGAGUGAUCAGAAGCGAGAAUGUUGACAUGAGUAGCGAUAAAGCGGGUGAGAGACCCGCUCGCCGAAAGUCCAAGGGUUCCUGCUUAAAGUUAAUCUGAGCAGGGUGAGCCGACCCCUAAGGCGAGGCCGAAAGGCGUAGUCGAUGGGAACCAGGUUAAUAUUCCUGGGCCAGGAGGAUGUGACGGAUUGCGGCUGUUGUUCGAUCUUAUCGGAUUGAUCGAGCUUCGAAGUGGUCCCUGGAAAUAGCCCUCCAUCAGAUCGUACCCUAAACCGACACAGGUGGACUGGUAGAGCAUACCAAGGCGCUUGAGAGAACUGCAUUGAAGGAACUCGGCAAAAUGCCUCCGUAACUUCGGGAGAAGGAGGCCCCGUUGGCGCGCAAGCGUUGGCGGGGGGCACAGACCAGGGGGUGGCGACUGUUUACUAAAAACACAGGUCUCUGCGAAGCCGUAAGGCGACGUAUAGGGACUGACGCCUGCCCGGUGCUGGAAGGUUAAAAGGAGAGGUGCAAGCCUUGAAUUGAAGCCCCAGUAAACGGCGGCCGUAACUAUAACGGUCCUAAGGUAGCGAAAUUCCUUGUCGGGUAAGUUCCGACCUGCACGAAUGGCGUAACGACUUCCCCGCUGUCUCCAAUGUAGACUCAGCGAAAUUGAACUCCCCGUGAAGAUGCGGGGUUCCCGCGGUCAGACGGAAAGACCCCGUGCACCUUUACUACAGCUUCACACUGGCAUUAGGCCGGUCAUGUGCAGGAUAGGUGGUAGGCUUUGAAGCGGGGACGCCAGUCUUCGUGGAGCCACCCUUGAGAUACCACCCUUGUCUUGCCUGAUGUCUAACCGCGGACCGUCAUCCGGUUCCGGGACCCUGUGUGGCGGGUAGUUUGACUGGGGCGGUCGCCUCCUAAACAGUAACGGAGGCGCGCGAUGGUGGGCUCAGACCGGUCGGAAAUCGGUCGUCGAGUGCAAUGGCAUAAGCCCGCCUGACUGCGAGAC
rnacentral:rRNA from 1 species